rnacentral:rRNA from 1 species
CGUUGGCGGCGUGGAAUUAGGCAUGCAAGUCGCGGGAAUCCCAGCAAUGGGGGAACCGGCGUAAGGGGCAGUAAGGCGUGGGUACCUACCCUGGGGUCUGGGAUAGCCGUCCGAGAGGGCGGGUAAUACCGGAUGACCUCGGGAGAGCAAAGCUCCGGCGCCCUGGGAGGGGCCCACGUGAUAUUAGCUAGUUGGCGGGGUAACGGCCCACCAAGGCGGAGAUGUCUAGCGGGUGUGAGAGCACGACCCGCGCCACUCGCACUGAGACACUGGCGAGACACCUACGGGUGGCUGCAGUCGAGGAUCUUCGGCAAUGUGCGCAAGCACGACCGAGUGACGCCGCGUGGGCGACGAAGGCCUUCGGGUUGUAAAGCCCUGUCGAGGGGGAGAAAAGCCCGCAAGGGUGUGAUCUAUCCCUGGAGGAAGCUCGGGCUAAGUUCGUGCCAGCAGCCGCGGUAAGACGAACCGAGCGAACGUUGUUCGGAAUCACUGGGCUUAAAGGGCGCGUAGGCGGGCUGCCAAGUUUGGGGUGAAAUCCUCCGGCUCAACCGGGGAAAUGCCUCGAAUACUGGCGGUCUCGAGGGAGGUAGGGGCGUGCGGAACUGUAGGUGGAGCGGUGA